rnacentral:lncRNA from 1 species
AUGACCAAAAGCAGUUGAGAAGGAGAGAGUCUAUUUUACUCACAAUGACAUGUUACUUCAUCAGGGCAGGAACCUGGAAGCAAGAACCAAUCAAGAGGCCAUGGAGGGAUGCCACUCACUGACUCGUUUACAGUUUCAGGUGGUUAGUCCGUGACCACAAUGGCAAGGAACAGACAGACAGACAGGAGCACCCAAAAUCUGGACCUUGUGCUGGGAAGAGCCUCAAACUGUCUGAUUUUGAUGAAGCCCACUCUGAUACUAUCACCUUUGAGGAAGAGAAUCCCGCCUAGUUGACUGGUCCCUCCACAUCCCUAGCAGACUCGAAGAAAGACACCCAGGAUGAGCAGAAAUCACACAACAGACUUUCCAUUCCACCAAUGGGAUCUGGCAGAGGAAAGGAGUUGGGGAUGAAGAGGGAAGAAGCGCUGGAGGCUAGCUGGCAGGUUGUACCAAUGCAGUAGACAGUAGCUAUCCGCCAUGAGCAGCGUGUAAUGGCCACCCGUGGUCUACAGCUCUGCACAGGGUUUGCACACCCUCAGACAUAGGUAGCUGAGGACAAUCUUGACCUGCUCAUUCUCCUGCCUCCACAUCUUAAGCAUUGGGAUUACUGGUGGGCACCACCAAACGUGGGUGACAAGCUGUCUUCUGUUCC